AGCUCAGACUUUUCCGCUCGCUUUUUGAGCGCGCUGCAGUUGCUUACGAGACGGCGCAGAUACAAAGCCAAGCGACGCGUCUUGUACCUUUUUGGACGACUUGCUUCUUUACUAAAGGGCGGCUUUAAUCUGAGUGAAAAGAGUGGACGAGGAAAGUAAUGCGUGCAGGGAGCGGAGCGGGGGGAUGACAGAUACCAAAAACGAGCAGCUGUGGCUGCUUUCCAGUAUAACCACAGAUGCGUCCGUCCUCCGUGAGUUGUGAAAAGCGUGUGGGAUGGAGAGAAGAGGAACCGAGAUUAACUUUGGAUGUUUUAUCGAAACCGCAUAUGGAGUUAUUUUUAAUUUUUCUCCCUGUAUGUGGGCGAUUCUGUGAUGAAAAUCCAAGUGGUUUCAAGUGCAAUCAGAACAUCCUUCUGUAAUGGAACAUGCUAUGAUACCUCAAAGGAUACAUGUUGUCCAGUCCACGCUGACAGAAAAAAUGGUAAACUGACAAAGGGUCUCAGUGAAAGAAUGUCUCAGUGCUGUGGGCUAGAAGCUUACAACCCUCUGAAUGAAAUAUGCUGUAAUAAAACUGUGAAACCAAAACCUUCCCAUGAUGCCCAGUGCUGUGGGAAUGAGCCUUACGAUCCAAAGAUGAAACUCUGCUGUAGUGGAAACCCCCAGAUCAAGCUUUCUGCUUACCAUCGGUGCUGUUAUGGAAGUCAGUUCGACCCUCUCAUUGAAAAAUGCUGUCAAGAUAAAUUUCCAAGGAUACAGCUAAAAAUCAGUGAUUUUGACAACUGUGGUAAGCUGCUACCGACUGC